rnacentral:misc_RNA from 1 species
GAUGAAGAACGUAGCGAAAUGCGAUAAGUAGUGUGAAUUGCAGAAUUCAGUGAAUCAUCGAAUCUUUGAACGCACAUUGCGCCCCUUGGUAUCCCGAGGGGCAUGCCUGUUCGAGCGUCAUUUCACCACUCAAGCCUGGCUUGGUGUUGGGCGACGUCCCCUUUGGGGACGCGCCUCGAAACGCUCGGCGGCGUGGCACCGGCUUUAAGCGUAGCAGAAUCUUUCGCUUUGGAAGUCGGGGCCCCGUCUGCCGGAAGACCUACUCGCAAGGUUGAUCUCGGAUCAGGCAGGGAUACCCGCUGAACUUAAGCAUAUCAAUAAGCGGAGGA